rnacentral:rRNA from 1 species
UAUUGCGCAAUGGAGGAAACUCUGACGCAGCAACGCCGCGUGAAGGAUGAAGGCUUUCGGGUUGUAAACUUCUUUGAUCGGGGACGAAGAUGACGGUACCCGAGGAACAAGCCACGGCUAACUACGUGCCAGCAGCCGCGGUAAUACGUAGGUGGCAAGCGUUGUCCGGAAUUACUGGGUGUAAAGGGCGUGUAGGCGGGGCGGCAAGUCAGAUGUGAAAUACCGUGGCUUAACUGCGGGGGUGCAUCUGAAACUGCUGCUCUUGAGUGUCGGAGAGGAAAGUGGAAUUCCCAGUGUAGCGGUGAAAUGCGUAGAGAUUGGGAGGAACACCAGUGGCGAAGGCGGCUUUCUGGACGAUAACUGACGCUGAGGCGCGAAAGCGUGGGUAGCAAACAGG